rnacentral:rRNA from 1 species
AUUGAACGCUGGCGGCAUGCUUUACACAUGCAAGUCGAACGGUAACAGCACUUCGGUGGCUGACGAGUGGCGAACGGGUGAGUAAUACAUCGGAACGUGCCUAGUAGUGGGGGAUAACUACUCGAAAGAGUAGCUAAUACCGCAUGAGAUCUAAGGAUGAAAGCAGGGGACCUUCGGGCCUUGCGCUACUAGAGCGGCUGAUGGCAGAUUAGGUAGUUGGUGGGAUAAAAGCUUACCAAGCCGACGAUCUGUAGCUGGUCUGAGAGGACGACCAGCCACACUGGGACUGAGACACGGCCCAGACUCCUACGGGAGGCAGCAGUGGGGAAUUUUGGACAAUGGGCGCAAGCCUGAUCCAGCAAUGCCGCGUGCAGGAUGAAGGCCUUCGGGUUGUAAACUGCUCUUGUACGGAACGAAAAGCCCUCUUCUAAUACAGGAGGGUCAUGACGGUACCGUAAGAAUAAGCACCGGCUAACUACGUG